GCCCCUGGUGGUCUAGGGGGUAAAGGCGCCGCGCUACCACCGCGGAGACCCGGGUUCGAUUCCCGGUCAGGGCC